UAUUGCUGAUAUUUCUACUUGGACCGAGAUAUCAACCCAGGCACAGUAGCAAGUGUUAGAGUAUUGCAGACUCCACCUUGGACAGCUAUAAAGACAUCUAGAGCAAUUCUAUCAUCCAUCACCAUCCUGACCAUUGAAUUGUGGAUCAUCUGAUUACCUUCCAAGGUCAAGAUAUGUUGAAAUGAAGGAGGUACAACAUUGUCUUUAUGUUGGUCCAAAGAAGUUUUUGAAACCAGUGCCUUGGUUAACAUACAACAGAAAAGGACUAAUAAUAGACCUACAAAAUAUAUGGAAUACCUCAAAUAUGGUUUUAAGUGAAAAUGCAAGUUACAGAAGAGUUGGUGUAGAAAAAAUGAAAUCAUCAGCACUUAGACUAUCUUGGCAACACCUCUACAGGCAAAGGUUGCAGAUAGAACAGACUGUUAAUAUAUGCACAUCUCAGCACAUCAUCCUCCAGAAUUCACUUUUUUUAUUGAGAUGCAGCAAUUGUGUGACAGCGUCUUGUCAACCGAAGAACUUAAUAGUGGCAAUUUUCUUUUGUAAAGAAUUGUGAUUCACCUUGGAUUCAAAAUCAUAUACUUUUCUUGGGAAAAGUACUGAGAUGCUUCGAAGUUUUAGAAAAAAACCUGCAGCUUAAAAGUAAGUAAACAUCGAUGUAUUGUGAUCGUAGACACAAGUACUGACUCAAAAUAUAUUCAGCUAUCGAGGGAGCAAAUUUCUGGAGCCGGAAUGUCUUUCCAUGAGACCUGUCGGACAUUUGUAAGAGGCCAGCCCCACGUUAGCUGGGAACCCCUGCACUCAGCAUCUGCUACUAAUUUGCUGUAGCGUCAGGCUGAUCACUGACAGGGGUCCCAAGAUGCACCGUGCUAUGUUAUACCAAGGAUGGAGAGAACCAGGAAUGCUAGUGAACAGUAAUGAUCAACAGCACAAGUCCUGUCAUCCUACGCUCAUGCACUGUUGUACCAUCCUAAGGGAAAGAAAUUAAACUUCAAAGGAUGAUUUUAAUCUUUUAACAUAAUUAUUUGGAAUGAAGGAUCCUUGGAAAGUUAGUAGAUCGGUCAAAAAUCAGAACAAAAUAAAGGAAAUUCUCCUGGAGUAAGAAGAGCGCACAGUGUGCUUGCAGAGGAGCCCUGAGCUGGUGGCAGCAUAAAGAGGUCUGUGUAGAGAGAGAGAUCUACAUCCACAUGGGAACAACUUCAGGAUCAAUAAGAAAAUAUUGAUGACAGCUCUUUGGAGCCAAGCAAGCAUGGAAAUUCUUAGGUGUCGUUCAAAAUAAUGUUUGCUAGUGCAAAGCCACAGUUCUAAUAUGAAUGAAUAAAGAUGUCGGUUGCCUUCUAAAACAGGGAGAAUAUUGGAAGGCCGUGGGAGUGCUUGUCUGGCUGAUGCGAUGCUCUUCGCCUCUGGAAUUCAAGUAGCUUCCCUAGUAAU